GAUGAACGCUGGCGGCGUGCCUAAUACAUGCAAGUCGAGCGAACGGACGAGAAGCUUGCUUCUCUGAUGUUAGCGGCGGACGGGUGAGUAACACGUGGAUAACCUACCUAUAAGACUGGGAUAACUUCGGGAAACCGGAGCUAAUACCGGAUAAUAUUUUGAACCGCAUGGUUCAAAAGUGAAAGACGGUCUUGCUGUCACUUAUAGAUGGAUCCGCGCUGCAUUAGCUAGUUGGUAAGGUAACGGCUUACCAAGGCAACGAUGCAUAGCCGACCUGAGAUGGUGAUCGGCCACACUGGAACUGAGACACGGUCCAGACUCCUACGGGAGGCGGCAGUAGGGAAUCUUCCGCAAUGGGCGAAAGCCUGACGGAGCAACGCCGCGUGAGUGAUGAAGGUCUUCGGAUCGUAAAACUCUGUUAUUAGGGAAGAACAUAUGUGUAAGUAACUGUGCACAUCUUGACGGUACCUAAUCAGAAAGCCACGGCUAACUACGUG
rnacentral:rRNA from 1 species